rnacentral:rRNA from 1 species
CCCGAGGGCUGUCGCUGAUCCCUUCCGAGGGGUCGUGCACGCCCUUGACGUCGUCCUCACGCAAUCAAUCCAUCUCACCUUUUGUGCAUCACCGCGUGGGCCUCGAAAGGGGCCUGUGCCUUUUUCACACACACUCGUACGAUUCAGUCUAGAAUGUCUUUGCCUUUGUAUGCAAUCAAUACAACUUUCAACAACGGAUCUCUUGGCUCUCGCAUCGAUGAAGAACGCAGCGAAAUGCGAUACGUAAUGUGAAUUGCAGAAUUCAGUGAAUCAUCGAAUCUUUGAACGCACCUUGCGCCCCUUGGCAUUCCGAGGGGCACACCCGUUUGAGUGUCGUGAAAUCCUCAACCCUUCUCCCUUUUGGGGAAAGGGCUUGGAAUUUGGAGGCUUUUGCUGGCUCCUUCUUUUUGAAGCCAGCUCCUCUUAAACGCAUUAGCAGGGUCUCCUUAGCCGGAUCCCUUGACGUGAUAAGUUUUUACGUCCCGGGGAUUCUUG